rnacentral:lncRNA from 1 species
AACGUGUACCAGGAAGGAGAAUCGAACGAAUUUUGCACGCGUAGCUACUGAAAGACCACUAUCAUUGGAAAUUUAUCGAACUCCGUAACUCUGACAUUUCUCCGUGAGCAGUGAUGACCAUCGCGCGAUGGAUUCAAAUCGGGACAUCAACGAGUCUUUCCGAAGAUUGACUCCUCUUAUUCAUCCCGUCCUGGUAAAGAUGAUGGAUCUGCAACACCUGAGACGUACAACUUCUCUUUUUGCAGAGGUUUGUUUCAUUCUCUUUAUUCCUUCCAAGAGUCCCUCGUAUAAUACAGCAUUCGGAAUCUCAGUAUAUGA